AUGCCUGGCAACGGCACUGAGCUUGCAAACCCCAUCAGAGAGACAGGUGAGGGACCAGGCCCCCUCCUCACACCCCCGCGGGGCCUUUGGCUGGCAUUGAGGGGUGUGACGCUGCAUCCAUGCCCCCUGCUCAGCUCAGCCCCCUCUUCCAGCUUUGGCUGCCAGUGUGGGCACCUGCUGCCACAGUCAAAGCCUUCCAGGAGCGUGUUUCCCUUUGCAGAGCGUUGCCUCCCCCGGCCCCGCGGGCAGGGCAGCGGGCACGGGCGCCUUGUGCUUGUAUUAAACGGGUCGGGUGCGUGGAGCUGUGGUGCCGUCCUUCCUGCUGAUGGGGCUGCCCGCCGUUGUACGGGAGGGCUAACGGGUCCGUGCUCAAUGGGUGUCACUGGGGCGGGGGGGAUGCGGCAGGAGCUGUGCCGCACAGAGCGGCUGUGCACGGGGCUGGGAGGGGGCUGCAGGGAUUGGGGCUGGUGCUGGGGCCGCUGCCCCCGGGCUGGCGUUCUGGGGGGGCAGCGGAGGCAGCCCGGCGGCAGCAGCAGACAGAGCCGCCUUUCAGGGGCUCCCGCGGGAACACAGCGUGCCUUGUUCUGCGCACGGCUGAGCACUGUGGCGUGGUGGGGGCUGCGUGGUUCCCCCAGCAGCGCUGGGGCCAGGCCCAGCUCCCUGCGUGCUUCACCCCCUGCCCCGCGCAGCGUGGCUGCUGUCCUGGGGGAACAAGGCCGACACUUGUCAGGGAAGGCGAAAGCUGGAGAAGCCGCGACCACUACAGAGAUGGGAGAUGUAAUCUUGGGACUGGGAGAGAUGAGAUCCAAGGGCAGGAAAUUGGCUUUAUCCAGGGAAAAACGUUGCUCAGCCCACAAUGGGAAGGAAAGCUGGCAAGGCAGCAGACACGGCUCUGCCAGCAAAGCCUGGGCACGAGUGGGGCGGCUCCAGCGGGGCUCAGCAUCCCCACGCUCCCCUGCCCCCAGUCACCCCUCGGUGGGGGCACGGACCCCUGUGGCGGUGCUGCAGCUCCUGGGAGCUGUGCUGCUGGGAAGGGCCCCGCCUCCCAUGCAGGCUGCCACGGCCCGAGCGGAUGCAGAGGCCAUCGGCGUGACGUGCAGCGAGCGCUCGGGCGGGGGGAUGGCUGGCGCAGGGCCGAGUUCCCGCAGGGACGAGGGCGGAAACAGCCUGGCCUGA
rnacentral:lncRNA from 1 species